rfam:Gossypium arboreum cultivar AKA8401 contig_71293_1, whole genome shotgun sequence.
AAUCCGUGGUGUAGGCAUUUUUGAAUCAAUGUUUUGAAAUGUUCCCAAGCCUUAUGGAAAUAUUCUCCUUCCAUCUGUCUGAAAAAAACAAUCUCUCUCCUUAAUU